rnacentral:piRNA from 1 species
UGCACAGUGAGAAUCGUGAAGGGAGCA